AACGAACGCUGGCGGCAUGCCUAACACAUGCAAGUCGAACGAGACCUUCCGGUAUUUUGGCGAACCCGUACGUACCGCUUGGGAACCUGCCUUUAGGUUAGGAAUAACUCAGAUAAAUUUGAGCUCAUACCGGAUGAUGUCUUCGGCCCAAAGAUUUGUCGCCUUUAGAUGGGCCCUCGUUGGUUUAGCUAGUUGGUGGGGUAAAGGCCUACCAAGGGCACGAUCCAUAGCUGGUCUGUGAGGAUGAGCAGACAAACUGGGACUGAGACACGGCCCAGAAUCCUACGGGAAGGAGGAGUGGGGAAUAUUGGACAAUGGGCGAAAGCCUGAUAAAGCAACGCCGCGUGAGAGGUGCUGGCCUUAGGGUUGUAAAGUUCUCUUACACGAGCUGAUAAUGACAGUAGCGGGAGAAUAAGCUCCGGCUAACUCCGUG
rnacentral:rRNA from 1 species